CAAGAAUUUUGAUUGCUAGCUAUUGGAAAGAGGAAAGCAUCCCAACAAAAAGAGAAUGGUUGGGGAAACUUUGCGAGUACCUGGAAUUAGCAAAAUUGACAGAUAUAAUAAGGAGAAAAUUCAAAACUAUGGUUAUGAAGCAAUGGGAGUGCUUAAAUGAUUAUUUACAAAACCAGGGCUCAACUACAAAAAUCUGGUUGUGUUUAGAAUAAUCUUGUGCGUAAUAUAAAAAAAUACAAAGUGAGACAUUAAGGAAAUCCAAAGGGAAAAUAUGAAAAACAGAGGCUCUGAAGAACGGAUUAUUAAAAACGCAUGAGGUAAACGGUGGAAGUCUUUUUCUUUUCCCCCCCUUUUUCUUUCUUUCUUUUCUUUUCUUUUUUCUGUUUUUUUUUCCUUCAAAAGAAACAAUUUAUUUGAGGUGGAUAGGGACAAGAUGAAAUUAUACAAUUGAAUAUAAAGGUAGAUGGGAGACGGCUAUGUAUUGUGAGUGCUUAUCUACUUUUGAAAAUUUUCACAUAUGACUUUUUCUUUAACUUCUUUGUUCUUUGUUCUUUUUUCUGAUAUCUUAUUCAUCAUUUCAAUGUGUUAUCAUGAAUAGCAUUUUAUAGAGGUAGAAAUAACUGUAAAUAUGAAAAAAGACAAAAUAUUCUCUAAUUCUUUUUCCUUGGUUAGAUGUAUUUUCUUUUUCUUUUGUAUUUUCUUUUGUUGUAAAUAUGUAUGUUUUUUAAUUUGUACUGAAUAAAAAUCUAUUAAAAAAAAAGAACCCGCCCCCCAAAAAAAUAAUAACCAGAAGCUUUUUUUAUUAGGUAUAGUAGGUAGAGAGAUACCGAGACGAGAUAAAAAAUUGUUCGUAUAUGCAACAACUGUGGCAAGAAUAUUGUUAGCCCAAAGAUGGAAACAACAGGAGCUACCAACAAAAGAAGAGUGGCAGAUGAAGUUGAUGGGCUUUGCAGAACUGGCAAAACUGACGGGAAGAAUCUGGAACCAGCGAGACCAAAGCAUUCCAAAGGAACAAAUUUAUAUUAUAUCUGAAAGACAACUGUAAGCAAUUAAGAUCAUUAGCAGGGUUAUUUGAAGAUUUGUAAGAUGAAACUGCUACCUAUUCAGGUUGAGUAAUACAAUAUUUUAGGUAAUGAUAUAACAACGAUAGGAAACGAAGUGAAAUGCAAAGAUGUAAAGUUUAAUUUUAUAAACCAUCAGACGGGAGGGAGGGAAGUCGUUAGGCUCAGUUGAGCCAAAAAGAUAAAAUAAGAGGGUACGAUGUUACGUAAUGUGAU